UACAGAGGGUGCAAGCGUUAAUCGGAAUUACUGGGCGUAAAGCGUGCGUAGACGGUAGCGUAAGUCGGGUGUGAAAGCCCCGGGCUCAACCUGGGAAUUGCAUUCGAGACUGCACUGCUAGGGUGCGGAAGAGGGAAGCGGAAUUUCCGGUGUAGCGGUGAAAUGCGUAGAUAUCGGAAGGAACACCAGUGGCGAAAGCGGCUUCCUGGUCCAGCACCGACGUUCAGGCACGAAAGCGUGGGGAGCAAACAGG
rnacentral:rRNA from 1 species